rnacentral:rRNA from 1 species
UCUAUGGCCAUACCACCCUGAACACGCCCGAUCCUGUCUGAUCUCCGAAGCUAAGCAGGGUUGGGCCUGCUUAGUACUUGGCUGGGAGAAAACUAGAGUCAGAAGAA